rnacentral:rRNA from 1 species
GACGAACGCUGGCGGCGUGCUUAACACAUGCAAGUCGAACGGAAAGGCCUUCUUUCCCUUGUGUUUUGCGGGUACUCGAGUGGCGAACGGGUGAGUAACACGUGAUUUAUCUGCCCCCAACUUGGGUAUAAGCCUGGGAAACUCGGUCUAAUUCCCGGUAGGACUGCAGGGUGGUGCCUGUGGUGGAAAACGAUUUUCUAGUGGUUGGGGAUGAGUCCGCGGCCUAUCAGCUUGUUGGUGGGGUAAUGGCCUACCAAGGCGGCGAGGGGUAGCCGGCCUGAGAGCGGCGACGCUGGAAUUGGGACACAGUUCCGACCCAGACGCGAGGGGGCGGUGGGGAUGAGUAAAAUAGGGCAGCGGGCGGAAGCCAGACGCACCGCGGGGGUGAGGAGGAUCACGGGGUUGGGGUGGUAAACUGCUUUCGAAGGAGAGGAGGACGCCUGGUUGGAGGGGUGGUGACGGUAGUGAAAGAAGAAGCACCGGCUAACUACGUG